rnacentral:rRNA from 1 species
UACGUAGGGGGCUAGCGUUGUCCGGAAUCAUUGGGCGUAAAGCGCGUGUAGGCGGCCCGAUAAGUCCGCUGUGAAAGUCCAGGGCUCAACCCUGGGAUGCCGGUGGAUACUGUCGGGCUUGAGUGACGGAAGAGGCGGAGUGGAAUUCCUGGUGUAGCGGUGAAAUGCGCAGAUAUCAGGAGGAACACCAAUUACGAAGGCAGCUCGCUGGGACGUUACUGACGCUGAGACGCGAAAGCGUGGGGAGCAAACAGGG